AACGCGAAGAACCUUACCAGGUCUUGACAUCCUCUGACAACCCUAGAGAUAGGGCUUCUCCUUCGGGAGCAGAGUGACAGGUGGUGCAUGGUUGUCGUCAGCUCGUGUCGUGAGAUGUUGGGUUAAGUCCCGCAACGAGCGCAACCCUUGAUCUUAGUUGCCAUCAUUAAGUUGGGCACUCUAAGGUGACUGCCGGUGACAAACCGGAGGAAGGUGGGGAUGACGUCAAAUCAUCAUGCCCCUUAUGACCUGGGCUACACACGUGCUACAAUGGACGGUACAAAGAGCUGCAAGACCGCGAGGUGGAGCUAAUCUCAUAAAACCGUUCUCAGUUCGGAUUGUAGGCUGCAACUCGCCUACA
rnacentral:rRNA from 1 species